AAAAGACUCUCGGCAACGGAUAUCUCGGCUCUUGCAUCGAUGAAGAACGUAGCGAAAUGCGAUACUUGGUGUGAAUUGCAGAAUCCCGUGAACCAUCGAGUCUUUGAACGCAAGUUGCGCUCGAAGCCAUUAGGCCUAGGGCACGCCUGCCUGGGUGUCGCA
rnacentral:rRNA from 1 species